rnacentral:rRNA from 1 species
UACGAAGGGGGCUAGCGUUGUUCGGAAUUACUGGGCGUAAAGGGCGCGUAGGCGGCGUGUCAAGUCAGGCGUGAAAGCCCCGGGCUCAACCUGGGAACCGCGCUUGAGACUGGCAUGCUCGAGUUCGGGAGAGGAUGGUGGAAUUCCCAGUGUAGAGGUGAAAUGCGCAGAUAUCAGGAGGAACACCGGUGGCGAAGGCGGCCUUCUGGGCCUGUUCUGACGCUGAGGAGCGAAAGCGUGGGGAGCAAACAGG